rnacentral:miRNA from 1 species
UCGCCCAUCCCGUUGCUCCAAUA